GACGAACGCUGGCGGCGUGCUUAACACAUGCAAGUCGAACGGAAAGGCCCUGCUUUUGUGGGGUGCUCGAGUGGCGAACGGGUGAGUAACACGUGAGUAACCUGCCCUUGACUUUGGGAUAACUUCAGGAAACUGGGGCUAAUACCGGAUAGGAGCUCCUGCUGCAUGGUGGGGGUUGGAAAGUUUCGGCGGUUGGGGAUGGACUCGCGGCUUAUCAGCUUGUUGGUGGGGUAGUGGCUUACCAAGGCUUUGACGGGUAGCCGGCCUGAGAGGGUGACCGGCGAGAGUGGGAAGAUAGUGCGGCGCAGACGCCGCAGGGAGGAAGCAGUGGGGGAUGUGGCACAAGGGGCGGAGGCAUGCUGCAGGAAUGCGGCGUGGGGGAUGAGGGCGGGAGGGUUGUAAAAAGAAAACGACGGUGAAGAAACGGGAGGGAGGGAAAUGAAUAAAGAAGCAACCCCUAAGUAAGAG
rnacentral:rRNA from 1 species